rnacentral:rRNA from 1 species
UACAGAGGGUGCAAGCGUUGUUCGGAAUUACUGGGCGUAAAGAGUGUGUAGGCGGUGCUCUAAGUUCGGGGUGAAAUCUCCUGGCUUAACUGGGAGGGUGCGCCGGAAACUGGAGUGCUUGAGCGUGGGAGAGGAAAGCGGAAUUCCUGGUGUAGCGGUGAAAUGCGUAGAUAUCAGGAGGAACACCUGUGGUGUAGACGGCAUUCUGGACCAUAGCUGACGCUGAGACACGAAAGCGUGGGUAGCAAACAGG